rnacentral:rRNA from 1 species
UGGGGAAUAUUGGNCAAUGGACCAAAAGUCUGAUCCAGCAAUUCUGUGUGCACGAUGACGUUUUUCGGAAUGUAAAGUGCUUUCAGUUGGGAAGAAAAAAAUGACGGUACCAACAGAAGAAGUGACGGCUAAAUACGUGCCAGCAGCCGCGGUAAUACGUAUGUCACAAGCGUUAUCCGGAUUUAUUGGGCGUAAAGCGCGUCUAGGUGGUUAUGUAAGUCUGAUGUGAAAAUGCAGGGCUCAACUCUGUAUUGCGUUGGAAACUGCAUGACUAGAGUACUGGAGAGGUAAGCGGAACUACAAGUGUAGAGGUGAAAUUCGUAGAUAUUUGUAGGAAUGCCGAUGGGGAAGCCAGCUUACUGGACAGAUACUGACGCUAAAGCGCGAAAGCGUGGGUAGCAAACAGGAUUAGAUACCCUGGUAGUCCACGCCGUAAACGAUGAUUACUAGGUGUUGGGGGUCGAACCUCAGCGCCCAAGCUAACGCGAUAAGUAAUCCGCCUGGGGAGUACGUACGCAAGUAUG